CAAAGAGAAAACAAAUCCAAGCAAUGAGCAACCUGUGCAGCCAAGGAGAUCUCAGAGAAGCACUUUCACAAGGGAACUAUCCAGAGGAACCAUCCGCAUUGAGGAACCCGAGAGUGAAGAAAAUGAGACCUCUAGUGAUUCUGAAGAGACAAAGGAUGAGACAUAUAUUGAACCACCCCAUGUGAGUUUGGAAAGAAAGGGAAAAGCAAUCAGAACCAGCAGUCAUGAGGAUAGCCAAGGCACGGGCAGUGAUGGUAAUGGAGAGGAAGGAGGUGAUGAGUUUGACAUGCCUACACCCCAUGCUCAAACCACACAAGCUGCUAUUAUUUGAGAUGCGAGGUUGAGACCACCCAAGGCACCUAUUGAUAGAGUUAAGGUGAACUAUAAGGCUGCGGGCAUGACUGAAGUUUGCAGGAAAGAAAAGGAGAAGAAUCCUCAAAGGAUUGGUAAAUGGAAUAUGGAUUAUAGGUUCUACACAGAUUUUCACCAAAACUUCUAUUAGAGUGCUAUUCUUGCUAAAGGUAUACCCAUUGCUCGCUCUCAAUUC
rnacentral:lncRNA from 1 species